rnacentral:rRNA from 1 species
GCUAGCGGCAGGCCUAAUACAUGCAAGUCGAGGGGUAACAGGAAGUGCUUGCACUUCGCUGACGACCGGCGCACGGGUGAGUAUCGCGUAUACAAUCUGCCUCAUACUAGGGAAUAGCCCGAAGAAAUUUGGAUUAAUGCCCUAUAGUAUCUUUUUAAGGCAUCUUAUUAAGAUUAAAGGUUACGGUAUGAGAUGAGUAUGCGUUCUAUUAGCUAGUAGGUGUGGUAACGGCACACCUAGGCUACGAUAGAUAGGGGCCCUGAGAGGGGGAUCCCCCACACUGGUACUGAGACACGGACCAGACUCCUACGGGAGGCAGCAGUAAGGAAUAUUGGUCAAUGGACGAAAGUCUGAACCAGCCAUGCCGCGUGCAGGAUGACUGCCCUAUGGGUUGUAAACUGCUUUUAUAUAGGAAGAAAAACUUUCUCGUGAGAAAGCUUGACGGUACUAUAAGAAUAAGGAUCGGCUAACUCCGUGCCAGCAGCCGCGGUAAUACGGAGGAUCCAAGCGUUAUCCGGAAUCAUUGGGUUUAAAGGGUCCGUAGGUGGACAAAUAAGUCAGAGGUGAAAUCCUGCAGCUCAACUGUAGAACUGCCUUUGAUACUGUUUGUCUUGAGUUAUUAUGAAGUGGUUAGAAUGUGUAGUGUAGCGGUGAAAUGCAUAGAUAUUACACAGAAUACCGAUUGCGAAGGCAGAUCACUAAUAAUCAACUGACACUGAUGGACGAAAGCGUGGGUAGCGAACAGGAUUAGAUACCCUGGUAGUCCACGCCGUAAACGAUGGUCACUAGCUGUUUGGACUUCGGUCUGAGUGGCUAAGCGAAAGUGAUAAGUGACCCACCUGGGGAGUACGUC